UAACAUCCGCAGGCUGGCCGCCAGGCUGGGCUGGGCGAGUAUCUCUUCAAUAGGGUCACCCUCAAGCACGACUAGGAGC
rnacentral:pre_miRNA from 1 species